CCCCAGUGUGACAACUACUGCUCUUUGCUAGCUAUCCUUGGCUGUAGCUAGCUACCAUUAGCUAGUUAGUUCACUGCUCAAUUCACCGUGGUGCCAGUGCUCCUAGACUUUGAGGUGUCACCAUCUUACCACAUUUCUCACGUUACUUGAUGAAUUGAGGAUUUAUUUUGAGUAAACCAGAGAGGCCCAGUAGACCAUUAGCUCCGUAAUAGCGGGUAAACAUCUGAGACAAUCACAAGGCAAACAGAGAAACACAAUCGAUGCCUCUCAGCCUCCGGAAAUAUGAUCCUGCUGCACCUGGACUCCUUCAGAGCACCUCAGCACCUUUAUGAAAGAGCCAAAUAAGAGACAGUGUCCCUUUAAGGGAUAAUUCACAGUGGAAGAAGAAAAGCUGCAAAGAAGGAAGGAGAGGAGGUGUGUGUGUGUGUGUGUGUGUGUGUGUGUGUGUGUGUGUGUGUGUGUGUGUGUGUACGUGUACAUGUCAAACUGAUAGACACUUGUGAGAGAGAGACAGAGGAAGAGAGUGAGAGAGAGAGAGAGAGAGAGAAAGGAGGGACAGACAGAUAAGGAGAAAGAGAGACAAAGACAGAGAGACACAACAUUGCAUUAGGCACUAAGAGCCAUUCCUCGCUCGCUAAAGGCUAAUGCAAUUGCCACAAUAAGAGUGUCUCAGCGGAGGCUGUAAAAAAAGAAAAACUAGAGAGGGGAGUGAAAGAGGAGAGGCAGGGAGAGAGGGAGGGAAGGAAGAAUGGAGGGAGGUAUAGAGAGGAGGGAGAGAGGGAGGAGAACUGGCAGCUCUGCCUCCAGACUCUCAUAUGGGCAGUGGAUCUCUUGGGACAACUGGUUGAAAGUCUCUCUCUGUCUCCACUGUUACUCCUGGCUGUGUGAGUGGCUGAGUGGGUUGGUGCUCUGCUGUGUCUCCAGAGUGAUUUAUCAGGUUUGCAGGGAGGAGACAGAGGGAGAGAGGGGGAAACAACUCCGGUAGCAGGGCAGGCAGCAGUUACCAGCCUGCUGGCUGGCUGGGUGUGUUAACUCCACAUCUGACCUCUAUGGGAACAGAGCAGCCUCCACUCCUCUCCUCCCCUCCUGGCAGACUGUGGGAACAAGGGGGGGGGAACAGAUCUUCACUUUACCCCCUCUCUCUCUGCUUCUCGCUGGGCUGUCAGAGUCUGGGAAGUGGCCCUGGACAUGACGAGAGAGGACAGCAGCUUUGGCAGCGAGACCUCAGUGGGAGACCCGGGCUCUGAGGAUUGCACUGCCGACUGUUUCUUGGAUCUGAAAUGGCACAGUGGACACAGUCGCGCUGUCAGUCAGGCAGCCGUGCAGUUGUCUAGUCAGUCAUUAGUCAGUCAGAUGUUCAGUUAGUCAGCCAGUAAAUUGGUCAGAGGGGUCCUCCCUGUAGGGUCAACUCUUCCACUUUGUGCAUAUCCUCAUCUGAACUCUGAGAGGUGACUCAGACUUACCGGGUAGCACAAACGGACCUGUGGGCAUGGUGAGUGGCAAACACCCCUCUCAGUUUCUCACAUGCUUUUUCUCACACAUUUUUUUCCUUUGACUCUUUUCCUUCUGUGGGUGUUGUGUUCCAUUUCCCAAUUUUAUUAGUGUUGCUCUGUUGUGUGCUUCUCCUUAGUUUCCCAUCCAUUUUUUUUGUCCUCUGGCAGCUGACUUGUGACAAACACAACAUGAGACAACAGAUACGAUCAAAGCCUCGCUCUGAUGUUAUGGAGUUUGUUCAGUUGUCGUGGUCUAGCUUUGAUCUUUCCGUGAUGGCACUUGGGAGGACAGCGCAUCUGUUUGUAUGACAAACAAGUAGUUGGUUUUGCAGCUUUUGUUGGCUCACCACAGAUAUUUCAAAUGGGUGGUUAAUCUCGUUGUUUAUGAGGGUCGAAUGAAAAAUAAAUCUUUAUUUACUCUAGGCUAC